CGCCAGCUAAUUGCAGAAACGACAGUGAAAUAACAUCUUUUUUUUCUUUAAUAUUAAUUUUUUAUUUAUUUUUUAAAUAUUAAAACAGUGUAUGAUUGGUAGUUUAACUGGGAAGGUUGCCUCCUAAAAUGUAACGGAGGCGUGCAAAGGCAAGUUUACUUCUAAUACUGAUUAGAAUGAAAGUGUAAUGGCAAUAAAACUUGCUUGAUUGUGAGACUUACAAGUCGAACAAGUAUUUUAAUAAUUUAAUUUAAUUAAAUUUUAUUUUUGUAGGCCAUAGUGAUCCAGCAAAAACUUUGUGGAAAGAUUGCUGCUCAACGGAUAAAAGGUACGCUGGGGAUAACAGGCUAAUAAUUCUUGAGAGUCCUUAUCGACGGGAUUGUUUGGCACCUCGAUGUCGAAUCAUCACAUCCUGGAGCUGUAGAAGGUUCCAAGGGUUAGGCUGUUCGCCUAUUAAAGUGGUACGUGAUUUGGGUUUAGUAACGUCGUGAGACAGUUGG
rnacentral:rRNA from 1 species